CAAGUCGAACGAAUGCUGGCUUUGUAGCAAUACCGAGCCAGAGGAAGUGGCGAAAGGGGCAGUAAUGCGUGGAUAACCUACCUUGGGGUUGGGCAUAGCCGUUCUAACGGACGGGUAAUUCCCAGAGAUUCAGCGGGGCGGCAUCGUUCUGCUGGGAAAGAAUUUCGCCUCGAGAGGGGUCCACGUGCUAUUAGCUAGUUGGUGAGGUAACGGCUCACCAAGGCUAAGAUGGCUAGCGGGUGUGAGAGCACGACCCGCGCCACUGGCACUGAGACACUGGCCAGACACCUACGGGUGGCUGCAGUCGAGGAUCUUCGUCAAUGGGCGCAAGCCUGAACGAGCGACACCGCGUGCGCGAUGAAGGCCUUCGGGUUGUAAAGCGCGAAAGUGGGGAUAAAGCCGAAAGGUUGAUAGAUCCACAGUAAGGACGGGCUAAGUUCGUGCCAGCAGCCGCGGUAAGACGAACUGUCCUAACGUUGUUCGGAAUCACUGGGCUUAAAGGGCGCGUAGGCGGUCCGACAAGUCAGGGGUGAAAUCCUGCAGCUUAACUGCAGAAGUGCCUUUGAUACUGUCGGUCUUGAGGGAGAUAGGGGUGUGCGGAACUCACAGGGGAGCGGUGAAAUGCGUUGAUAUUGUGAGGAACGCCGGAGGCGAAAGCGGCGCACUGGAUCUCUUCUGACGCUGAGGCGCGAAAGCUAGGGGAGCAAACGGGAUUAGAUACCCCGGUAGUCCUAGCCCUAAACGAUGAGUACUAGAUUGUAGACUUACAUGGGUUUACAGUCGAAGCAAAAGUGUUAAGUACUCCGCCUGGGGAGUAUGGUCGCAAGGCUGAA
rnacentral:rRNA from 1 species